CACACACACACACACACACACACACACACACACACACACACACACACACACACACACACACACACACACACACACACACAGAGGGGCGCGCGCGCACUCUCUCUCUCUUAGUGACUCUCUCAGUGAGUCAGUCAGUCGGUGCACGCGCUUGGGUUGCCAGCAUCUCUCUCUAUCUAACAGACCGCGCGCCUGUGUUUUAUGGAGGCCACUUCUUCUCCAGCCGAUCAUCUCCAGACGUUCCUCACGUUCACCAACGUCCAGGUUCUCCAAACGUGAUGCGAGCUGGAGCUCGAGCCCGAGCGCGAGAGGCUGCUGUAUCUCUCGGCACGCGGCGGCGGCAGGAGGAGGAGUGAAGAGCUCGAGCCCAGCUCUUCACGCGGAGCGGCUGCUGCUGCUGUUCUUCUCCAGCUUUUCUCUCCGAACCGCGGAGAAAUCUGCCUUCCCUUCCCCGGAGGAUCAGCUACCGAGCCCGGGAGGAGGAGAGCUCUUCAUUUUACACCAGGAGCAGAAAAGUGGAGAGUAAGGUUCCCUUUCUUUUGGGUUAAAUUGACUUAAAGCUCGGAGGCUUUCUUUGCUGGGAUGCGGAUUUUUCUUCUUUCCACAGCUCGCGCUUGAUUUCGCAUCACACCUCUGGAGGAAUCUGAUGGAUUUACUGAGGGAGGGAAUAGCCGCAGUUAAACUGAAGUGUCCUUAAGCUGGUUUCCUUCACGGUUAGUCUAUCUUAACGGUUUUAACCGUUUUAACGGCUAAAAAGAAACAAAAACCGCUUUUUAAAAAAGAAAAAAACGCGUUACAUCGAGAGUCUCCAAAACCACCUUUUAUGUUUUAUCUCUUUUAUGUUUUUAUCUCUCGUAUCUCGUGAACUAUAGGCGCUAUAACUGGAACAGAAAACUGAAGCACUUUGAGAAGAAAUAUAACGUUAAGAAACGUUAAGAAUAAAAAGCGGGAAAUAAAAAAAUAAAAUACGGGCUUAAAAGAAGGAAGGAGGCAAAGCGAGCAACCGGUCACGCAGAGCGGACGGAUUCGGGACUGUUAAACACCAUCAUCACCAUCAUCUUCUUCUUCUUCACCAGCAUCACUACAGACAGGUCAGUUCCUACAGUUGCUGAGGGUUUGGUGGUUUGGUGUUUGGUGGAUCUGUAAUGUGGAGAGCUGUGUAGGAGCCGAGUGGCCGUAUCUCAACCCGUCGCCGCCUCCAGAGCCCAAGAUGGAGUAAAGACCCGCCUCCGGAGAUCAAAGGUGGCUGUGCGCAGGGGGACCCCCGGGGCAGGAUCCAUGAGGAGGUAUAGAAGAUGCUCACAGCCUGGGCGCCUCUGCUCUUCUUAGCAAUGUGGGUGAGAAGCACCUCCAGCGGGCCGCUCUCCUUCAGACUAGCUGCCAUCCUCGAUGAUCCAAUGGAGUGCAGCCGAGGGGAGCGGUUGGCCAUCACUCUGGCAAAAGACAGCAUCAACCGCUCCAGCAACCGCUCCACCACGGGCAAGCUGGAGGUGGACAUCUUUGAGCUGCUGAGGGACAGCGAAUAUGAGACAGGAGAGACUAUGUGCCAGAUCAUGUCUAAGGGGGUGGUGGCGGUCCUCGGCCCUUCUGCCAGCCCGGCGUCCAACUCCAUCAUCAGCAAUAUCUGUGGAGAGAAAGAGGUGCCGUACGUGAAGGUGGCUCCAGAGGACAUCCUGAAGGUACAGUUCCCCCGAUUCACCACGCUGGACCUCAGACCCACCAAUACUGAUGUGAGCCUAGCUGUGGCCGGCCUUCUCACCUUCUUCAACAGCACCACGUCCUGCCUCAUCUGCGCCCAGGCCAACUGCCUAUUAAACCUGGAGGUGUUGCUGCGACAGUUUCUCAUCUCUAAGGAGACCCUCUCGGUACGCAUGCUGGACGACAGCCAGGACCCCACCCCCCUCCUCAAAGAGAUCCGAGACGACAAGACCGCCACCAUCAUCGUCGACGCUAACGCCACCAUGUCUCACAUCAUCCUCGAGAGGGCAUCAGAGUUGGGCAUGCUCUCCGUCUACUACACCUACAUCUUCACCUCUCUGGAGUUCUCUCUGCUUAGACUGGAUGAUGUAGCUGAUCAGCGGGUGAACAUCGUUGGCUUCUCUGUCUUCAACAGGACACACCCCUUCUUCCAGGACUUUCUUCUUAGCCUCAACCGCUCCUGGCAGGAGAACUGUGACCACGCCCCUUUCGCAGGGACACCGCUGUCAUCGGCGCUGCUGUUUGAUGCAGUACACACUGUAGUUGCAGCAGUGCAGGAGUUAAACCGCAGCCAGAAUGUCGGCGCCACCCAGCUGUCCUGCAAGUCCUCUAAAAUCUGGGAGCACGGGACCAGCCUGAUGAACUACCUGAGGAUGGUAGAAUUGGAAGGUCUAACGGGCCACAUCGAGUUCAACAGCAAGGGCCAGCGCUCCAACUACGCCCUGCGGAUCAUGCAGAACAGCAGGGACGGUCUCAGGCAGAUUGGCCAGUGGCACUCGGAGCAGGGUCUAUCCAUGGAGAGAAAGCUUCCCUCACUCAAUGUGACAGAUACGCUCUUCAACACCACGCUCAUCAUCACCACCAUCCUGGAGAAUCCCUAUGUGAUGCUGAGAUCCAACUACCAGGAGCUGGAGGGGAACGAGCGCUAUGAGGGGUUCUGUGUGGACAUGCUGAAGGAACUGGCCGACAUCCUGAAGUUUAAGUACCGCAUCAAGCUCGUGAGCGAUGGGGUGUACGGAGUUUCCGGAGCUAACGGAACCUGGACGGGAAUGGUGGGAGAAUUAAUCGCCAGGAAGGCGGACCUGGCCGUGGCUGGACUGACCAUCACGGCUGAGAGGGAGAAGGUCAUUGAUUUCUCCAAGCCCUUCAUGACUCUGGGAAUUAGCAUCAUGUACCGGGUGCACAUGGGAAGAAGACCGGGGUAUUUUUCCUUCCUGGACCCGUUCUCUCCAGGGGUCUGGCUCUUCAUGCUGCUGGCAUAUCUGGCUGUUAGCUGUGUGCUUUUUCUGGUUGCCAGACUCACCCCCUACGAGUGGUACAAUCCGCACCCCUGCCUGAAGGGACGGUGCAGUCUGCUGAUUAACCAGUACUCUCUGGGGAACAGCUUCUGGUUCCCCGUCGGGGGCUUCAUGCAGCAGGGCUCCACCAUCGCCCCCAGAGCGCUGUCCACACGCUGUGUCAGCGGAGUAUGGUGGGCGUUUACCCUGAUCAUCAUCUCUUCCUACACGGCCAACCUGGCCGCCUUCCUCACUGUGCAGAGGAUGGAGGUUCCCAUAGAGUCCGUGGACGACCUGGCGGAUCAGACGGCUAUAGAGUACGGCACCAUGCAUGGCGGAUCCACCAUGACCUUCUUCCAGAACUCCCGUUAUCAGACGUAUCAGCGCAUGUGGAACUUCAUGCACUCUAAGCAGCCCAGCGUGUUCGUGAAGAGCACGGAGGAGGGCAUCGCACGCGUGCUGAACUCCAACUACGCCUACCUGCUGGAGAGCACCAUGAACGAGUACUACAGACAGCGCAACUGCAACCUCACGCAGAUAGGAGGUCUGCUGGACACCAAGGGCUACGGCAUCGGCAUGCCUCUGGGCUCAGUGUAUCGGGAUGAGUUUGAUCUGGCGAUCCUCAGACUGCAGGAGGAGAACCGGCUGGAGAUCCUCAAAAGAAAGUGGUGGGAUGGUGGAAAGUGUCCGAAAGAGGAGGACCAUCGAGCCAAAGGUCUCGGCAUGGAGAACAUCGGUGGGAUCUUCGUGGUGCUGGUGUGUGGUCUGUUAGUAGCUAUCUUCAUGGCUGUGCUGGAGUUUGUAUGGAUGCUGCGUCAGACUCCAGGAACAGAGGUGAGAGAGGACUAUUUUACCUGCCUCUGCUUUAUGUCCUUCUCCCCGCCCACGAGCCUUUCCUCCUGAGCCCUUUCCCCAUGUCCAGCCCCACCCGGCCCUCCAGCCUUACAGCACAAACACCACAGAGCUUACCUCACACAGGUGCACUGAGUCCACGGGUCUCCACUGGCCUGUACCUGCUCUACAGGUAGUACUCAGGGGUUCAUUGCUACCUUUAUAGAGUUCAGUUUAACUUUUAACUGUAUUUUUCGCACUAUAAGGUGCACUGGAUUGUAAGGCACAUUUUAUGUGACACUAGUAAGGAACAGGGGUGGCGAGACCUAUAAAGCUAAGCCAAGUUAAGUAAACAAAACUGUAAUUCUAAAGAAAAAAACAUUUUCAACAAGCGCUGGAUGUUAAUCCACACAGAUUUAUUUUGGUGAGAAUAAUCAUUUAUAAUUAAUUUUGAUUAUAGUUUUAGUUGAUUUUUGGUUUUAUUGUCUAUGUCUGCACUGAUGUUUUAAAAAUCAUAUGGUCAUGAAAAUUUGGCUUGAACGCCUGAAAAAUCAUGAAACUGUAUUGAUUAAAACAUUGGUAUGAACGCUGCUAGAUACUUUUUUUCACAUAACAGAGUUGUUCUAUCAGUGUAAUUCUAAUUCAUCCAAGGUGUUGUAUUGAAAUAAAUAUAAAAAUUAGAUAAUCUUUAUUAAAUUACAUAAGCAAAGUAUACUCUUCAAUUAUUAUGGUUUACAUAUACGUUUGAAGACACAUGCAAACAGUUUAUUUGGGUGAGUAAGUCACUUCUGUUUUUAAUUACAGUAAAUUGCUGGAGUUUACUGGAGCAUUAGCAUUAGUGGCUAACCGCUAGCGGGUAAUGCUAAUGCUGCUCCAGCAGUGCUAGCUAGGGUUAGCAACAGGCUAUACAGCAGGGUCGAUAUAAUAAUCACCUAUGAAUGGGCAAACAGUCAGUGCUUAGAGUUAGAGUUAGCGGCUAAUGCUACUGUACAACACUGUAUUUCAGUGGAGUAGCUUUUCUGGUCCCUAUUACCUGACUGCUAAAAUUCAUACAUAAGAUGUAUUGACGAUUUUUUUAAGGAAAAUUGAAGUAUUUUUUUAAGUGCUCCUUAUAGUGCGAAAAAUAUGGCACUAAUGUAGUAUAUCUUUUUUUUUUUGUAUUAUUGUGUGUUUCUUGUAUUAGAUUGGAUUAGAUUGUUUUUAAGAAAACACUGUGAUUUUGCUUUUUGCUAAAUAAACCUUCAGAGUUUUCUCAGUAGAACCGCAGGACGUGUGACUUCUUUGUGGGGGGGGGGUGUAUAUGCAUAAAAGGGGCUAAGUGAUAAAUAUAUAUAUAUUUUUUUAUUGUGUGUCAAGGGUAGACACCAUGUGCUGAUGUGCUUUUGUUAGCAUACGUUUGAACAUAUGUGAGGGGAAACAUCGGCUGAGUGUCAGACUGCGGGCUCCUGCCGGUCCGUUCUGUUACCAUCUGUCUGCUGCAUCUGAAUUAAUUCAGUUAACAGUGGAUAAAGAACUAAUUAUACGCCCCUUUUUGUUAAAACUCAAUUUUUAGGUAUUUCCUGACUCAGCAUACCUACACAUAUUUAACAGCUGGUGUUUCUACGAUAUUUUAAAGGUCUAUAAGUGUUUUGAAAGUGAGACAUUUUGUCAUUAGAGCCAAACCAAGGACAGACAUUCGCAGAAACCAAUCAAAAAUGUAUUAACAAAGGUGUUAGACUUAUAGGAGUAGUCAGAGACAGGCAGGGUCAGUAUCAAAAUGACAGUAAUUGUAAAUAACAUACCAGAGAGAGCAGGAUACAGAGUAGAUGAUGGGGAAAUCCAAAAGGUAAAGGUCUAGACAUGAAGAGUGGACUUAAUUAAAAAAUAUAUAUAAUAAGGUUCGGCAAUGAUAAACAAUCGAUAGAAGGGGCUAUGGCAAAAAAGUAGUCAAAAAACAAAAAAACAAGUCGGCAACAAUAGUAAUAGAUAGGGUAGAUUCAAUAUCCAGCGAUGGACAAAGAAAACAAAGGGGUAUAUAUACAGGACAGAACAGGUGCGUGCAAUCAGAAGCUCGGAGAGUGUGAACACUGUAGUGUUACAUGAUCAGCAGAGUUAGGGAAGUCCGGUAAGAGAGCAUGCUGGGAAUUGGAGUCUUUGUUUUAAAGUUCAGAGUCCACAGCAGUCCAUUGCAUUUUGUAAUUUUGGUUUGAUAUAAAUCAUUCCAAAGGAUUGAUUUACUUGGUGAGGAAAAAACACUCAUUCACAACAUCUUUUCAAGUUCGAAACACUCCAGAUAACCUAGAUAUUUCACUAUCUAUUGAAUAAUAUCUACAGUUACUUUAAGAGCCUCCUUCAAGAAAUUAAAAACAGAGUACAUAUAGCUCUGGAAAAAAUGAAGGUCGCACUUCAGUUUCUGAAUCAGUUUCUCUGAUUUUGCUAUUUAUAGGUUUAUGUUUGAGUAAAAUGAACAUUGUUGUUUUAUUCUAUAAACUACAGACAACAUUUCUCCCAAAUUCCAAAUAAAAAUAUUCUCAUUUAGAGCAUUUAUUUACAGAAAAUGAGAAAUGACUGAAAUAACAAAAAGAUGCAGAACUUUCAGACCUCAAAUAAUGCAAAGAAAACCAGUUCAUAUUCAUAAAGUUUUAAGAGUUCAGAAAUCAAUAUUUGGUGGAAUAAAUCUUGGCAUCAUGUUCUCCUCCACCAGUCUUACACACUGCUUUUGGAUAACUUUAUACUGCUUUACUCCUGGUGCAAAAAUUCAAGCAGUUCAGUUUGGUGGUUUGAUGGCUUGUGAUCAUCCAUCUUCCUCUUGAUUAUAUUCCAGAGGUUUUCAAUUUGGUAAAAUCAAAGAAACUCAUCAUUUUUAAGUGGUUUCUUAUU